AACUGGUCAGGAGUUGAUGUCGCUCUCCUAACGAGGCCAUGGCAGGCCGAAAUCAAUU
rnacentral:hammerhead_ribozyme from 15 species